UUUAGGUCCAAAGGCCUCCAGUGCUGCUGUACAAACCUCUUCUGCAGCAGCCAAUGACCCUCAUCUGUCUGUCUCACAAUCACUUAAAGGUAACACUUAUACUACCAACUCUCUAUCUGUCCAUCCAUAAAUUCAUAUAUCCUCUCAUCCAUAUAUUCUCCCCCCAUUCUUCCAUACAUCCUCCCUAGACCUGUCUAUCUAAUCUGUCUGUCUGUCUGUCUGUCCAUUCAUCAUCCAGUCUGCAAGUUUCUGUCUUUCUAAUCUGUCAUUUUACACUUUCUUUAGGUCCAAAAGACUCCAGUGCUGCUGUACAACCUCUUCUGCAGCAGCCAAUGUCACUCAUCUGUCUGUCUCACAAUCACUUAAAGGUCCAAAAGACUCCAGUGCUGCUGUACAACCUCUUCUGCAGCAGAAAAUGACCCUCAUCUGUCUGUCUCACAAACAAAAAAAUAUCGGUACAAGAUUAAAGACUGUCCUGUGCAUUUACUCAAAGAACACUUUCCAUUUGUAAAAACCAUGGGAACGAGAAAAGCAAAAAAUGGAAUAAACAAACAAAGGUUUUGCUGGCAGCCUUGCUCUGGCUGUGGAGUAAAGUGGAAGGACACAUGGGAGCUUCAUUCGGAUGAAUAAAGUAAUGGUUUUUUUUUCAAAAGCUUACUGCACUAAACCCUUAAAUGUAUGUUAACCAUUAAUAUUUUAUAUUGUUUUAUGUUUUUCUAUACAGACAUUUGAAAACAUUUAACUAUGUUGAUUGAUCUGUGUAUCUAUUGGCCAUGUACAGUUAUUUUUAUCUUGACUGCUCCCUCUUAUAGUAUUUGUUAAUUUGUCCCCCCGCUCUGUUCUCUGUUACCCUUUUGUUUUCCUAUGUUUUAUCCUCUGUCUGUUUUCCUCCUCUGUGGUUCCCU